UUCCGUCACUUCCUUAGCAACCCCUAGCAGCUGCCUGGGAAAAUGUAAAGGGAUUGUACAUUUUACAAGAGAAUUCCUCAAAUAGCAAGUGAAAUGGUUUCGUACGUUCAUCUUCCUGCCCAGAUUCACUUCAAGUGGAGAGGGAGAAAUGAUUUGGUGUUUGAUCAGUCUUAAUACAACAACUAGAUUGCCCGAAAUUUCUAGAACAUCCUGCUUCUGUGUCAUUUUCCUCCUUUCAUUUGUGGUGAGGGAGCUGGUGGAUGGUGUCCUGUGGCAGAGGGAGGAGCAGGAGGGGGAUCCAGUCAAGACACAGUCUCCAGAAGUAGCCUGAGCCAAGGAGCUGCUUGCGUGGCUGAGGACCCUGAGGUGGUUCAUUUAUCUGAAGACUCCACAUGAAAGGCAGCCCCCUGUGUCCUGGAGAGCAGAGAAUCACACCCUGUGGAUGGGAUAGGAUGGAACCCCCUGGGCUCAGGCGUGCUCUGUCCACUCUGCCACAGCCUGUCCUUAAGGGACAUCCCCACAUUCGAUGGCUUGCUGGGGGGGGGCAUCAAGAGAAGGGGGCUCAGACUGCCAGUGCCCAGACUCCAAGGGCCUCCACUCUCCUCCCUCUCACCCUGAAUCAGCCCCUAGCCCCUCCUGAGUGGAACCCCGUCUUCCCAGCCUGGACCAUUAGAGCACGAAUUCCCCUUCCCAAGACGUGCAUCCUGGAGAAGGGAGAGUCCCCUGGUGUGGACUCUGUCUCCCUUAGGAUGUCAGUCUCUCCCAGCCUCCUGGGCUUGGCCUCUACUUGGGGAAAUCUGGGUCUCAGAAGCUGUACCUCAGGCCCCUCUUAGCUGGCAAUGUGUAUGUCACACCCACAUCCUGCCCCACCAAGCCAUGUACACAUAUAGUGCACACAAUCCAGGCACUGA